rnacentral:rRNA from 1 species
UGAGAGUUUGAUCCUGGCUCAGGAUGAACGCUGGCGGCGUGCUUAACACAUGCAAGUCGAGCGAAGCACUUAAGUUUGAUUCUCCCGAUGAAGACUUCUGUGACUGAGCGGCGGACGGGUGAGUAACGCGUGGGUCACCUGCCACAUACAGGGGGAUAACAGUUAGAAAUUGGCUGCUAAAUACCGCAUAAGACCCCAGUACUGCAUGGUACAGUGGUAAAAACUCCGGUGGUAUGAGAUGGACCCGCGUCUGAUUAGGUAGUUGGUGAGGUAACGGCCCACCAAGCCGACGAUCAGUAGCCGACCUGAGAGGGUGACCGGCCACAUUGGGACUGAGACACGGCCCAGACUCCUACGGGAGGCAGCAGUGGGGAAUAUUGCACAAUGGGGGAAACCCUGAUGCAGCGACGCCGCGUGGAGGAAGAAGGUCUUCGGAUUGUAAACUCCUGUUGUUGAGGAAGAUAAUGACGGUACUCAACAAGGAAGUGACGGCUAACUACGUGCCAGCAGCCGCGGUAAAACGUAGGUCACAAGCGUUGUCCGGAAUUACUGGGUGUAAAGGGAGCGCAGGCGGGAGAACAAGUUGGAAGUGAAAUCCAUGGGCUCAACCCAUGAACUGCUUUCAAAACUGUUUUUCUUGAGUAGUGCAGAGGUAGGCGGAAUUCCCGGUGUAGCGGUGGAAUGCGUAGAUAUCGGGAGGAACACCAGUGGCGAAGGCGGCCUACUGGGCACCAACUGACGCUGAGGCUCGAAAGUGUGGGUAGCAAACAGGAUUAGAUACCCUGGUAGUCCACACCGUAAACGAU